GCCAAUCCGCCAGAAAACCAUGCAAUAUUCAGAAAAUCGUCCAAAUCGACAAUCACAACUUGACAAAUUUUUAUACAUCAUCUUAAUCCUUGACAUAAAAUAAAAGAAUUUGACCAUUUAAUUUUUCCCAGAAUCGUAUCUAUUUUUAGUAACAGCCUCAUUUGCAUAAUUCUGUAAAUUCAUAAUGAAACAAAGGAAAAAUCCAACUUUUUUAUGCCUUUUAAGAAUGACCCAGAAGCAUAUUAAAUGGGGUAGUUGAGUUUUAAGAGUAAUGUCAGCUGAAACUCAUCCAUUUUACUAUGUUAUGAUCAAUACAAAUGAAAAUUUAAACGAUUUGGCACAUUGCCAGGAGCAGGGACACAAAGGCGGGGUUUUUCAUACAUGAAUUUACGUGGUUUUCAUUCGCUUCUAUCUUGCAAGACCCAUUCCGGAUUUGUUUGCAACUUAUAUCGGUUUUAACUAUGGGGUAUGUUUUAAAUCAAAACAAAAUAUUAAGCUUGGCAAAUGACUAUUAUAUGUUAAUUUAUGCCUUGGAAGAAUGGUGAUUUUAGUCCCAAAUUGACACAUUUUGAUUUUGAUUUUAAUUAAAUUCUAAACACAAUUGGUACUAAACUGGCUCAUAAAAUCAUUCGAACAAGUAAAAUCAAUUUGUCUGAAAAAUGAAAUAAGACUAUUUGUACUGCAAGUCCAAAAAUCAAUAAAUUGUCUGAAACCAGGGAGUCCAUCUUUUAUGCUCUUCCAUUGACUUAUCUCCCUUGGGUAAGAUCUCAAACAUGUCAGCUCCCAGUGAUGGUUUGGCAGACAAAUGUUUACAGUGAAGUUUGUGACUUUAAUAAUCUAGGAUGAGCAUAUGGGCUAUCCCAGCCUUAUACAUCUACAUAUUACAAACUAUUUAAGAUAUCUGAAUGCACUAAAGACCAAAAUAGCAUUUCCAAAAAAAAUAAUUACUGCCAAGAAAUUUGACAAUCAUGACAAUAAUUUAGUGAAUAAACAUGAUAAAUAUUGAUUGGAAAAAUAAGUCCAUGAACAGCAAAAAGUGUUUUUAGAUUUCAACGAGCAAAACAAAAGUAUUCUAAAUCAUUCUUUGUAAAAAAAAAGUGAGCGAGUGGAACCACCUUGCUCGCACCAAAAUUGAGAUUGAGAGUGUCAAAACUGCUCUGGCGCACCAUCAAUAAAUCAACGAAACUCUCUCUACCGUGGUAUUGAAACCAGCAUUGGUAACCAAACAUAUUCAUACAGAUACAGACUACCAUUCAUCUACAUUUAAAUAGGAAGUCUGAAUAAUUCUGAAAACUUAUGAUGGUGUAGAAUUUCCAACAGGACUCCUUAUUUUAUAUAAGACAAGGAGUGGUUUAUUUUCCCAUGGUUGUUACAUCAUCUUGUCUUUGAAUAUGCUCGAAGUACAGGGACUUUUAUGGAAUUCAUUGACAUGAUAGUCAAGCAAGAUGUCAACAUCUCGUCCAACCCUCUUCCAGCAAAGCCAAAGCUGACCAAGGAUCUUCACCCUUUCAAAACAGGCUGUAUACAGGACGAGUUAUUCCAGUAGGAACAGGGCUAUAUAUAUGCAAGCAAUGCUCAAUUAAGAUGAAUUUUUGUAAAAGUGACAAUAGCCAGGUCAAACUAAAUACAUGUAUAGAAGAAGAUAUUGAUCUAGCCUCGCAGCUAACCUUUCUGUCAGUGUCAACAACAACUGAACUUUCACAGCAGUCAACAUCAGAUUGGGAGACUGAUAAUGCUUCUAACAGAAACAAUUUCAACCAACCAAACAAGCAACAGAAACUUUCCAAAUUUAAAACAUCAGUUAAAUCUUCCAUGGGAUGAUGUCUCAAAAAAUAACAGUUCAUCAUUUAUGGAGAUUUUAAUGUUAUGGUUUUUCUUUUACAAGAAAGUUAAUGUACACUUGUUUUAUAGUAAAACCUAUAGCCGUUCAAGUAUAAAAAAACACAUUCAACUUUAUUGAAAUUUGAAGACUCAUAUGACUUAUUUUAAUUCUGUUAUCUCCGAGGAUGUGAUGUAGAGCAUUAUAGGUACAGUAAUCUUAACAGCUAUCCAAUUUCAUUCAAAAUUCUUUAUAAAUUUUGCACUGGUAUAUAUAGACUAAGUAAUUUGUUUUUCGUCUAGUUAUGGGAUUAUUUUUUAGAAGCAUUUAUGAUUUUCAUGUUUGUAUUGACCACAUUGCAGCAACAUAGAUAUAGGUACCUGGCAAAUCUUGCCUUGUUAGCAUACUAGGCUCAAAGGGUCAUAAAAAAAUGUCCAUCACUAAGUGUCUGUUAAAAUCAUCUGUUUACAGUUUUCACUUUUAAACCAUCAUCUUAAUAACUUUAGAAGAAGUGUCAUACAUAUAUAUAUGUAUACAAAAUUUAAAAACUUUUCAAUAUAUAUAUAUAUAUAUUGAUAAAAACUAUCAACAUGACAAGAUCUAAAUACCCAAAAUUUUUCUGAAAAAUUGGACAUAACAUCUAUGAGCUAUUGUCCCUGAAAUGUGUAAAUUUACAAAUUUUCACAGUUUUCUGCUACUAUCCGACAACUAUAUCAAUAUAUUAUAAGAAUAAAUUGCAAAAGUGGUCAGAAGAAACUUUUUUUUUACAGUCUGAACUUAUUCUGAAUUGUUUAACUUCUAAUUUAAAUUGAUUGCGUUUGAAAUAUGUGUUUUUUAUCAUUUUAGGUGCACAAUUUGUCAAUACGAUCUAUUUCGGCUCCUGGGAGCCUCUAGAUUUAUAAUGAAUAAUUUGUAUUUAUGUAUGAUUAUUUUCUUAAUGUAUUAAAUGAAACAUUAAUUAUUCUU